AGUGAACGCUGGCGGUAGGCCUAACACAUGCAAGUCGAACGGCAGCACAGUAAGAGCUUGCUCUUACGGGUGGCGAGUGGCGGACGGGUGAGGAAUACAUCGGAAUCUACUUUUUCGUGGGGGAUAACGUAGGGAAACUUACGCUAAUACCGCAUACGACCUACGGGUGAAAGCAGGGGAUAUUCGGACCUUGCGCGAUUGAAUGAGCCGAUGUCGGAUUAGCUAGUUGGCGGGGUAAAGGCUCACCAAGGCGACGAUCCGUAGCUGGUCUGAGAGGAUGAUCAGCCACACUGGAACUGAGACACGGUCCAGACUCCUACGGGAGGCAGCAGUGGGGAAUAUUGGACAAUGGGCGCAAGCCUGAUCCAGCCAUACCGCGUGGGUGAAGAAGGCCUUCGGGUUGUAAAGCCCUUUUGUUGGGAAAGAAAAGCAGCAGGUUAAUACCCCGCUGUUCUGACGGUACCCAAAGAAUAAGCACCGGCUAACUUCGUG
rnacentral:rRNA from 1 species